rnacentral:lncRNA from 1 species
GACUGUUCUGCGUUAGAUAUUCCAAAAUGACUUCUUCCUUCAUGGCACUCUCUUCUUCACUCUUUCACCUGCUCCAAACCUGGAAUGAUAUCAAAUAAGCACGAAUUAUGACUGAGAAUUAACUCAAAGAACACAUAUAAUGGUAUUAAAAACACCAUAUAUCAAUUCUCCUAGACUUAAAUCCUUGUUUGUCCUCGAACAAGGCCAAGCCUCAAGAACAGGGAGAAUGGUUUGAAAGAGU